ACGGAAGGCAGCAGUGAGGAAUAUUGGUCAAUGGACGGAAGUCUGAACCAGCCAAGUCGCGUGCGGGAUGAAGGCCCUACGGGUCGUAAACCGCUUUUGUACGGGGAUAAAGUCACCCACGUGUGGGUGUUUGUAGGUACCGUAAGAAUAAGGAUCGGCUAACUCCGUGCCAGCAGCCGCGGUAAUACGGAGGAUCCGAGCGUUAUCCGGAUUUAUUGGGUUUAAAGGGUGCGCAGGCGGGCUGCUAAGUCUCGGGUGAAAUGUCAGGGCUCAACCUUGGCACUGCCGGAGAUACUGGCGGCCUUGAGAGUGGCGGAGGUAUCCGGAAUGUGUGAUGUAGCGGUGAAAUGCAUAGAUAUCACACAGAACACCGAUUGCGAAGGCAGGAUGCCAUACCAUAUCUGACGCUCAGGCACGAAAGCGUGGGGAUCGAACAGGAUUAGAUACCCUGGUA
rnacentral:rRNA from 1 species